CCUUAUUACACCGUGUCAAAAAAUAAAAAGAAUCUAGGCUAAGAUAUGCUCUACGAAUAACAAAAGUCCUAUCUAAGUUCUUCAAACUUGGUCUCAUAUGCCUUGUUGCCUUGUUGUUUUGCAUUCUCUCGGUGAAAUCCAUUGUUGCCGCUUCGAACUGUAAACUGAGAUGCUUUUCCUUUCCUUCAAACUACUGAACUUGAAUGUAUUCAUCUGUUAUACAGGCGGGCUCCCAACUUCAAGACUUGAGUAUAUUCCUAUGUCAUAAAGGCAGGCUCCCAACUGCUGAACUUGAACUUGAAU
rnacentral:lncRNA from 1 species